rnacentral:rRNA from 1 species
UACAGAGGGGGCAAGCGUUGUUCGGAAUUACUGGGCGUAAAGGGCGCGUAGGCGGCCUGCUAAGUCGAACGUGAAAUCCCUCGGCUUAACCGGGGAACUGCAUCUGAUACUGGAUGGCUUGAGUUUGGGAGAGGGAUGCGGAAUUCCAGGUGUAGCGGUGAAAUGCGUAGAUAUCUGGAGGAACACCGGUGGCGAAGGCGGCAUCCUGGACCAACACUGACGCUGAUGAGCGAAAGCCAGGGGAGCAAAAGCGGG